GACGAAUGCUGGCUGCGUGCUUAACACAUGCAAGUCGAACGGUGAAGGAGGGCUUGCCCUCCGGAUCAGUGGCGAGCGGGUGAGUAACACGUGGGCAACCUGCCCCUCACUCUGGGAUAACGCCGGGAAACCGGCGCUAAUACCGGAUACGACCAGGCGCGACAUCUCGCCUGGUGGAAAGAAUUUCGGUGAGGGAUGGGCCCGCGGCCUAUCAGCUAGUUGGUGGGGUAACGGCCCACCAAGGCGACGACGGGUAGCCGGCCUGAGAGGGCGACCGGCCACACUGGGACUGAGACACGGCCCAGACUCCUACGGGAGGCAGCAGUGGGGAAUAUUGCGCAAUGGGCGAAAGCCUGACGCAGCGACGCAGCGUGAGGGACGAAGGCCUUCGGGUUGUAAACCUCUUUCAGCGGGGACGAAGCGAAAGUGACGGUACCCGCAGAAGAAGCACCGGCUAACUACGUGCCAGCCGCCGCAGUAAAAC
rnacentral:rRNA from 1 species